rnacentral:ncRNA from 1 species
UGGGUUUAGACCGUCGUGAGACAGGUUAGUUUUACCCUACUGGUGGCAUUCACACUGUUGGUAUGGCAUUCCUGUGAAGUACGAGAGGAACCACAGGUACG